rnacentral:rRNA from 1 species
UGGUGAGGUAACGGCUCACCAAGGCCACGAUGCAUAGCCGACCUGAGAGGGUGAUCGGCCACACUGGGACUGAGACACGGCCCAGACUCCUACGGGAGGCAGCAGUAGGGAAUCUUCGGCAAUGGACGAAAGUCUGACCGAGCAACGCCGCGUGAGUGAAGAAGGUUUUCGGAUCGUAAAACUCUGUUGUUAGAGAAGAACAAGGACGUUAGUAACUGAACGUCCCCUGACGGUAUCUAACCAGAAAGCCACGGCUAACUACGUGCCAGCAGCCGCGGUAAUACGUAGGUGGCAAGCGUUGUCCGGAUUUAUUGGGCGUAAAGCGAGCGCAGGCGGUUUCUUAAGUCUGAUGUGAAAGCCCCCGGCUCAACC